rnacentral:lncRNA from 1 species
AUUCCAUGACACUAGCUCCUCUGAGGAAAACCUCUGGGUCACUUCAUCUUCUACAAUGGCUUCCAAUCCCUUCUUGGAGAAAUAAAACACGUCAGACAGCUCAAAGUCCCUUCCUCGUAGACCAGAGAGCCCUUUUUCCAUGGGUGACUCAUCUCUUUGGAUAAUACACCAACAGAAGCAGAGUUUUUAAGAAUCGACUCCUUUGGGGUUCCUUUUUCAAUUCGUAUUGUGGCCCACCUCUAAAGUUUUCACUAGGAUCUUCAUGUAGAUCUCGGAGAUGCCCAGAGACACUCCGAAGACCGAAGGUAAAAGGAUGAAGCCGAGAACCAGCGUCAGCCAGGUGGAAAGGAUCUUCCCGGCCACCUCUGCGCCCUCCAUGACUCGGCGCACCCACUCAGGAGAGGUCCGCAGUGGAGGGCCGAGCGCCACAGCAGUCCCUGUCCCCAGGCAGUCCCGCGGGAGCUCCAGGAGCAGAGCGCCGAGCCCGGCACUCACCUCU